GCACGAGAAAGAUAGGCCGUAUUGUCGUACAAUGUUUGGUCAAUUGCACUUUGCGCCAAAACGACCACCUAAUGAUAUUCGUGAUUCGUUCCUUUCCCUCGCUACAGGUAAUAAAGCCCCAUGUAUUGAUGGUGUAACUAAUGUAAUCAUUAAAUAAAUUAGGGAAAGCAUUAUAUCAUUAACAAAAAUAUUUAACAGAAGCUUAGAACUAAGCUCCGGAUUCAUCAAAAACAGCUUCUGUCUUCCCGAAUAUAAAAGUGGACCCAAAAACUUACCGCCUAAUUUCACUUCUAUCAACAUUCGAAAUUGCUAAAGAAAAUUGUUAAUAACAGACUAGUAAAAUACAUUGAAAUGAA